rnacentral:lncRNA from 1 species
UCAUAUUGUUUAUGUGUCUAUGAAUCAUCCAAGAAAUUAAUAAGAUGAUGAUACAUAUUCUCAAGAGUUGAGAAUUUGAGCCAUGUAUCAUUGGUGAUUAAUUUCUAAAUGCUCCUGAUCAAUGGAUCAUCACGAGGACGGUGAUCGAUCCGAUCAGUGCACAGAUCGCUUUCCUUAUGGAUGGACAAGACUCGAGUCCACAGUUUAGGGACACUGAAGUGAGAGUGCAGGUGCUUGUUAGAGAACAAGGGUACUGAGCGUGAUCAAGACAAGAAGUCACUUGGAUGUCUAUCCACUCGUCAGUGACUUACUUGAUGUUGCAGUAGUGUGACUGGUCCUUUGACCUGCGGUGCUUCGGCUACUCACAGUGAGGUUAUUAUAGUUUGACUGCACAUAUACAUGGUCUCUAGUCAUAUGGGUCCUUGUUGUGUAGAUUGGCUGCAGUAGGUUCACUGUAGGAGUAGGGUAUGCACUUACAUGGAAUCUAUCGACCUUGAUAGAAGAGGAGUGAUCCUAUGUGAUUUAUUAGACAGAGUUCUAAGACCUUGGCCAGGGCA